rnacentral:rRNA from 1 species
CCUACGGGCGGCAGCAGUGAGGAAUAUUGGUCAAUGGACGCGAGUCUGAACCAGCCAAGUAGCGUGAAGGAUGACUGCCCUAUGGGUUGUAAACUUCUUUUAUAAAGGAAUAAAACGAGGCACGCGUGCCUUUUUGCAUGUACUUUAUGAAUAAGGAUCGGCUAACUCCGUGCCAGCAGCCGCGGUAAUACGGAGGAUCCGAGCGUUAUCCGGAUUUAUUGGGUUUAAAGGGUGCGUAGAUGGGUUGUUAAGUCAGUUGUGAAAGUUUGCGGCUCAACCGCAAAAUUGCAAUUGAUACUGGUAGUCUUGAGUAUAGUUGAGGUAGGCGGAAUGCGUGGUGUAGCGGUGAAAUGCUUAGAGAUCACGCAGAACCCCGAUUGCGAAGGCAGCUUACUAAGCUGUGACUGACAUUGAGGCACGAAAGUGUGGGGAUCAAACAGGAUUAGAUACCCGUGUAGUC